CUCAGCACCAAGGUCUGGGGCACCGACGAGCCAGAGGUCAGGAAGGGGACUGAAGGCCGAACAGCCUGUUGAACCGAGCCCUCAAAAGAGGAAGAACCUAUUUUGCCCUUUUCCCUUUUUUUGUAUGUCAAAAUAAACCGUACCCUUUU